rnacentral:rRNA from 1 species
UACGGGGGGAGCAAGCGUUGUUCGGAUUUACUGGGCGUAAAGGGCGCGUAGGCGGCCACCGCAAGUCGGGGGUGAAAGCCCGAGGCUCAACCUCGGAACUGCCUUCGAUACUGCGGGUCUCGAGUCCGGGAGAGGUGAGUGGAAUUCCUAGUGUAGAGGUGAAAUUCGUAGAUAUUAGGAAGAACACCAGUGGCGAAGGCGGCUCACUGGCCCGGUACUGACGCUGAGGUGCGAAAGCGUGGGGAGCAAACAGG